GGCCUGCCGUCAAAGUUGGCCAUUUUGAAGCCCGUGGUCCUGUAUUUGAAUAAGCAAACUCCUUGAGAAUUGAUCAGAUCUGCUUCAAAACUUGACAGUACUCUUGAAUAAUCUUGCUGAUUACAAGUUGUGCUAUUUAUGACUGUACGUUGAAGGGCGUGUCCCUGGUGUCUCGUCAAAGUUGGACAUUUUGAAUUCUGUGGUCUUUUUUUCAAAGUGAUGAAACACAAACACCCCUCCGCUCCCACUAGCCACAUCUACAAACCAUAUUUCCUAGGGAGUAUUGUUCGUGAAGCAUAGUGUGAAACUGCUGGAAGUCACUUAUUAAAUUGCAAGAUAAAUAGGGGACUUAUCAAAUCGACUUCAAAAUUGGACAGUCUUAUAAAAACAAAGUGUACAUGAAGAAUUGAGCUAUUUGUGACUGUACGUCAAACUGCGUGCCACUGACCCCUUGUCGAAUUCAGGUGAUUUUCCAUUAAGCGGUACUCAUAACUUCAGUGUGCAAUGUCCAAUUUCCAAUAAACUUCAUAUAUUCUGUAACAAUCUCGCCCUGAACGCGUCCUCAUAACAUCAGCCUACGUAUUACAGUCCCGCCCUGAACUUGUCUACGUGACAAGAUUCAGAUAAAGUGAAAGCACAGCAUACUGGCAACAGGAAGGAAGCGCUGAGUGGCGAUACGGAGCUGAUUUGGAGCUGAUUUACGUGACGUAUUCGCGUUGCGGUCCGCACUUGUUACGACGGCACGACGAGCGCCGGGUGCGAGGUCCCGCCCAACGCUGCUUGCAGCUUUAAUUUAUUAUUAUUAUUAUUAAGAUAGGGACACACAUCGUAACCCAAAAUGUGACCAAUAACCACACAUUUUUAGUAACAACUCUUAAAAUACAAUAUGUGAGUAUGAUUAUCGAUCAGAAGUUACCGAUCGAUAACUUCCGCCCCGCUUUCAUUUUAAACCUAUAGUACAAACAAUAUUUAUUAUUAUGUAUUUAUAUGUGAUUAUUAUGUCUAAUUACAAUCCGAUAAUAAUAUGUCUUCUGAUUCGGCUCUUAAAGGAGAUUCAAUUUAGUUAAAAGCUUUAACUAAAGCCUUAAAGCUUAAAAUUUGUGAAAACUUUAUUUAGAUGUAGUGCAAACAAAAAACAAUCUCACCAAUUUACAGUGUUGCCACAAUAUGGCAAUACGUCCCCGUCUCUCCAUUUAAUUCCUGAUUGACAUGGACAUCUCUUCUUUCUCACGUCAAAACAAAAUUAGAAAAGAUAUUUUUAUCUUUUGAAAACAUCUUCCAGUUCUUCUUAUAAAUAUUAAUUACUGUUGUUCUCUCACCUUUCCCCUUACUGGCCAUGUUUAAUCUGUCUCACUGCUUCUGCCAGUGUUUUGUUCAAGUUUCUCCAAGUUUUAAUGUUACAGCUCUUUUAUUUUGACAAGUCUAGGUAUGCUGCUUUUUAAUCAGGACCUGGGGCCCGUUGCACAAAAGUAGGAUUAAGACAUCCAGGAUAAGUGACUGGGCUGAGUUCAAUGAAUCCAAAACAAGAGCGUCCAGGCUUAAUUGGGUGCACAAAGACCAAACCAGGAUGAGCAGACACGGAUUCAUCAAGCCAGGUGAAACCAAUCCUGGAUAAGUGUGCGCUCACGGCUCCCUCAAAUAGACCCCGCCGCCACGGUGAUAAAGCAAAGAGAAAAAGCUUGGCAAAGUAUUGCUGACCGCCUGAAUGUGUAUGUAGCGCACAAUUACACACUCACCGCUCCGCUGAAACAUCACAAUUACAAUCCAAAUAGUUAUUUCACAUCUCCAAAAACGCAGUUGUACUCUGAUUAUGAAUCAGUUGAAUUUUUAAUUGAAAUGGACUGCAGAUAUGAGUGAAACUGUGUAAAUGUAACUCCAUCAGACUGUAUAACUCUUUGAUAAAUAGAUGACGACAAUAAUAAUAAUAAUAUAAUAAUAAUAAUAAUUACUUUAAUUUAUAUAGCGCAUUUCAAAGGACCGAAGGUCGCUUGCUCACUGACUUCAUUGAAUUUCCUUUCGGGAUAAAUAAGGUUUAUAUUUUCUCAUGUUUGCUCUACGUGGGUGUGGUGUGUGUAUGUGUUGUGUGGGUGUGUGUGUGUGUGAUGUAGAUUAAACAUGACAGGGCCAAAACGGAAAUGGCAGCAAGUCAAAAUCAAAUACAAGAACAUUCUGCAGAAUGAUGUGAAAAAGAGAACCCACAGACAAGGCACGGGUGGUGGGUCACCAAAAGCUGACCUCACCCAGCAGAGGACAUAGCCUUGGAACUAAAUAAAGGCAGGCCCGUGUUUGAGGGGAUCCCUGGGGGGACAGAGACAAGCAUAUGUCCCUCCCAAGAUGCCACCAGCUUCAUACAAGUUUCUGGCAGCACUGUCUCACUGUUAGAGCCACCAGCACAAGCACCAGACGAUGCAGAUCCAGCGAGUACUCCAUCAAAAGUAUACUGUAGGCCUGGCAUGUCUUGUCUACAAGCAUCAAUAUGAAUCUGAUUAAAUGUGAUAGGGUGAAGGCACCAGUGCAGCAGCAACAGCAGAUGACGGCGAUGAUGAUGAUGAGGAGACCAUCUCUCUGGAUUCCAGAAGGCAUGAGGACCCAGAUGCUGUACAGGGGGAAAGCCAGCCUGGCAACAUAAACUCACAAGCUGAGACAGUUGUAUGCCAAUCGCCUCCGGCACCAAAUACAACUGGCAGAUAUAGACAUGCAGUAAGAGAAGAAAAAGAUGGAAAACCUUGCACUGGAGUCUGAAACAAAAAAAAGGACAAUUAGAAAAUUGGACCUUGAAAUAAAAAAACUUGAGCGGGAGCUCCAAAAAGAUGACACAUCUUAUAUAAAAAAAUAAAAGGUCAAUCCUCGUGAAGUCAAGUGAGCCAAUUGCCUAUAUGAAGGCCCAAAAUGGUGUGUUCCUUUCUGCUCUGACAAUGGCGUGCCCAUUGUUGCGAGAUGUGGAUGACGAGGAAGCACUUGUGCUCAGGAGAGCCUUCAGGCGAGAGAGGGUCUUCAGGGUCCGGUUGGACCCACUGGCCUUCCCUGAUGACCAUCUAUAUGAAAGUGGAGGCUUCCUGUACUCAGUGGGGGAUGCAGAACAGCUGAACAAGGCCACAAUUUGCCGCACAAUAAGGAGUGUGUGUCUGGCUAUCAAAGUAUUGUCAGAUGUCUUCAUCUCCUUCCCUGGCCACAGAAGACCGUGACAUCAAAGAGGAGUUUUAUAGGAUUGCAGGUUUCCCCAAUGUCAUUGGUGCACUGGACUGCACACACAUCAGGAUAAAAUCCCCCUCAGGUGCCCAUGAGGCAGAUUUUGUGAAUAGGAAAUCCUUUCACAGCAUUAAUGUUCAGAUGGUCUGCCAGCUGGCUGUCUGAUCAGCAAUGUUGUGGCAAAAUGGCCUGGCUCUUUCAGACCUCUGAAAUCUAUCACCGCCUAUCACAAGGUGAGCCACACAACCCCUAUUAAUAACCACUUUUUACAUCAUGGCUGUGUGAAUGUCACUCUGUUUAUGAGGUUGUAAUGAUGAGUCAUUUGUCUGUUCGUGUCCAUUUGUCUGUUCAUGUGUGUUCAUUUGUCUGUUUGUGUGUGUUCAUUUGAUGUGUAUGGAUUUGUCCUGCAUUUAUUUCAGUGUGCAGACAUACGGUCUGUAUUCUAUACAGACCUUUGAAUGUGUAUUUGUCAUUGUGUUGUAUAAUAUGCUUUGAUUCUGUGCUUUCCGUAUUGUAGAGUCACUGUGACUUCAGUUUGGAAAGGAGCUGAUGGUUUACCUGUUUUGCUUUAUCCUUAUUCAAUAAAGGAAUAUAAUGUUACAAUUUGAUGUGUAUUUUAUACAACGGAGUAUUAGGGCCACACUGAGGAAGAAAAGAAAAAGUCAAAUUUAUGAGACUGGUUCUUUCUGUGGCAAAGUUGCAUUUUCUUGCAUAUUCUUUUUAAAGUCCUGAUACUUAUGACAAUGUGGUGGUGAUGUGCCAAAAGAUUAAGUAUCUCCUUGUUUGUGAAACCUAUACUGAAGUACAAUUCCACGAAAUGCUCCACAGCCCUCAUUUUAACAACUCUCCUAAAACAACGGGUUGCAUGACUUUAUUCUCGUAAAUUUAUGACUUUAUUCUCGAAGUCUGUGAAUUUUUAUUUUUUCUCUGUGGCCCUAAUUUUAUAUAUAGCCUUAUAGUCCAUGGGAAACUGUAAAUUAUCUAAUGAUAGCAACAUCAUCUAUAAUCAUAAUUUAUCCAAAAUGAUUGAAAUUAAUGAUGACAAACGUUUAAACAAUGACAGUGGGUCUAGUUAUAUGUGAUAACAAUGUAGUGGGCAGUAGAAUAACUAUUGGUUUCCGUUUGUGGUGACUGCUGACUGAGAUAAGGGAUGAGAUUAAAUAGAUCCUGGAAUUUAGCCUGGUCUGGAGCAGGCUAGCUCCACAGAAUAAAUCUCCAUGGUAACUUAUACCAUAACAUAUCCUACUGCCCCCUAUCCCGCUUUUGUGCAACCAGAUCACGGAUAAAUUAAGCCAGGAUAACCAAGAUAUCCCGGCUUAGUCCCUUAUCCUACUUUUGUGCAACAGGUGUGGAAAAAAACAGCGAAAUCACCCCUUUGUUUUUUGUUUUUUUUUGGGGGGGGGGCAUUAGGGCACUGUAAGUUAAAUCUCCCUUAAUAUUUUCCCUUAACUGCCAAC